GACGAACGCUGGCGGCGUGCUUAACACAUGCAAGUCGAACGGUAAUGCCUUUCUUUUGUGGGGUGCUCGAGUGGCGAACGGGUGAGUAACAUGUGAGUAACCUUCCUUUGACUUUUGGAUUUCUUCAGGAAACUGUGGCUACUCCUAGAUUGUAGCUCCUGCUCCAUUGUUGGUGUUGGAUCGUUUCGGCGGUUGGGGAUGGACUCGCGGCUUAUCAGCUUGUUGGUGGGGUAGUGGCUUACCAAGGCUUUGGCGGGUAGCCGGCCUGAGAGGGUGACCGGGAACAUUAGGACAGAGAUACGGGCCAGACUACUAAGGAAGACAGCAGUAUGGAAUAUUGCACGAUGGGCGGAAGCCUGAUGCAGCAACACCGCGUGAGGGAUGACAGACUUCGGGUUGAAAACCGCAUACGCCUGUGACUGAGCGUAGGUGAAGGUAAUGGAUGAAGAAGCACCGGCUAACUACGUG
rnacentral:rRNA from 1 species